UUACAAAUAGUAGAGGAUACUUUGAUAUCUUUGAAUUAGUGAAGACUGGAACAGAUAUUGGGAGUUGUCGAGUGAGUGUGGAUCCAAGUAGAGCACCCCGGGGGUGUUCUUUCUUAACAGACAUAAAUGGUGGAUCAAGUGGCCAAUCCUUAAGCACAUGCACCAAUAAUGGAAAUAAUAAGUUCACUUGUGGACCUUAUUAUUUUACUCCAAAUGCUUGUUCACCUCCACCACCACCAAGUUCUCCACCUCCACCACCACCUAGAAAACCACCACCACCACCACCUAGAAGACCACCACCACCCCCACCAAGAACACCUCCACCACCACCACCAACGACACCUCCUCCACCACCACCAACAUCUCCUCCACCACCACCACCAAGAACACCGCCACCACCACCACCAAGAACUCCUCCUCCACCACCACCAAGAACACCUCCACCACCACCACCAAGAACACCUCCACCGCCACUGCCAAGAACACCUCCACCACCACCACCAAGAACUCCUCCUCCCCCACCACCAAGAAAACCUCCACC
rnacentral:lncRNA from 1 species